GCGCUUGUAACUCAGCUGGUUAGAGUACCACACUGAUAAUGUGGAAGUCGAUGGUCCGAGUCCAUCUAAGCGCAC
rnacentral:tRNA from 1 species